rnacentral:lncRNA from 1 species
GCUCAUUAAAGGAGCUUUCUUUGUACUUAUUUGUGCUAUUGAUUGUUAUACUCGGUUUGAGUGAUUGUUUUUGUUUUGGAAGGGUUCCAAAAUAAGGGAAGGUUGAUCCGAACCUAGAAUCGGAGUGUAUUGGGUUGGCUUGUACCCGGAAAACAAGUGGUCUAGCUUGGGAUAGCUAGAGUCGGAGUUUCCGACAUUUGUAUUCGGGUUGAAUAC